AUGGACUACUGGGGUAUCUAAUCCUGUUUGCUCCCCACGCUUUCGCGCCUCAGCGUCAGUUGUCGUCCAGCAAGCCGCCUUCGCCACUGGUGUUCCUCCUAAUAUCUACGCAUUUCACCGCUACACUAGGAAUUCCGCUUACCUCUCCGGCACUCCAGAUCAACAGUUUCCAAUGCAGUCCCGGGGUUGAGCCCCGGGUUUUCACAUCAGACUUGCUGCUCCGUCUACGCUCCCUUUACACCCAGUAAAUCCGGAUAACGCUUGCCCCCUACGUAUUACCGCGGCUGCUGGCACGUAGUUAGCCGGGGCUUCUUAGUCAGGUACCGUCAUUUUCUUCCCUGCUGAUAGAGCUUUACAUACCGAAAUACUUCUUCACUCACGCGGCGUCGCUGCAUCAGAG
rnacentral:misc_RNA from 1 species